UACGUAGGGUGCGAGCGUUAAUCGGAAUUACUGGGCGUAAAGCGUGCGCAGGCGGUUCGUUAAGUCAGAUGUGAAAGCCCCGGGCUCAACCUGGGAACUGCAUUUGAAACUGGCGGGCUUGAGUGUGGCAGAGGGGGGUGGAAUUCCGCGUGUAGCAGUGAAAUGCGUAGAGAUGCAGAGGAACACCGAUGGCGAAGGCAGCCCCCUGGGCCAACACUGACGCUCAGGCACGAAAGCGUGGGGAGCAAACAGG
rnacentral:rRNA from 1 species